rnacentral:rRNA from 1 species
CUAUACUGCAAGUCGAGCGGGACAGAUGGGAGCUUGCUCCCUGAUGUUAGCGGCGGACGGGUGAGUAACACGUGGGUAACCUGCCUGUAAGACUGGGAUAACUCCGGGAAACCGGGGCUAAUACCGGAUGCUUGAUUGAACCGCAUGGUUCAAUUAUAAAAGGUGGCUUUUAGCUACCACUUACAGAUGGACCCGCGGCGCAUUAGCUAGUUGGUGAGGUAACGGCUCACCAAGGCAACAAUCCGUAGCCAACCUGAGAGGGUGAUCGGCCACACUGGGACUGAAACACGGCCCAAACUCCUACGGGAGGCAGCAUUAGGGAAUCUUCCGCAUUGGACAAAAGUCUGACGGACCACCGCCCCGGGAGUGAUGAAGGUUUUCGGAUCGUAAAACUCUUUUGUUAGGGAAAAACAAGUACCGUUCGAAUAGGGCGGUACCUUGACGGUCCCUAACCAAAAGGCCACGGCUAAUUACUUGCCA